rnacentral:rRNA from 1 species
UGGGGAAUAUUGCACAAUGGGGGAAACCCUGAUGCAGCGACGCCGCGUGGAGGAAGAAGGCCUUCGGGUUGUAAACUCCUGUCGUAAGGGACGAUAGUGACGGUACCUUACAAGAAAGCCACGGCUAACUACGUGCCAGCAGCCGCGGUAAAACGUAGGUGGCAAGCGUUGUCCGGAAUUACUGGGUGUAAAGGGAGCGCAGGCGGGUCUGCAAGUUGGAAGUGAAACCCAUGGGCUCAACCCAUGAACUGCUUUCAAAACUGCGGAUCUUGAGUGGUGUAGAGGUAGGCGGAAUUCCCGGUGUAGCGGUGGAAUGCGUAGAUAUCGGGAGGAACACCAGUGGCGAAGGCGGCCUACUGGGCACUAACUGACGCUGAGGCUCGAAAGCAUGGGUAGCAAACAGGAUUAGAUACCCUGGUAGUCCAUGCCGUAAACGAUGAUUACUAGGUGUGGGAGGAUUGACCCCUUCCGUGCCGCAGUUAACACAAUAAGUAAUCCACCUGGGGAGUACGACCGCAAGGUUGAAACUCAAAGGAAUUGACGGGGGCCCGCACAAGCAGUGGAGUAUGUGGUUUAAUUCGAAGCAACGCGAAGAACCUUACCAGGUCUUGACAUCCCGUGCAUAGUCUAGAGAUAGAUGAAGUCCUUCGGGACACGGAGACAGGUGGUGCAUGGUUGUCGUCAGCUCGUGUCGUGAGAUGUUGGGUUAAGUCCCGCAACGAGCGCAACCCUUAUCGUUAGUUACUACGCAAGAGGACUCUAGCGAGACUGCCGUUGACAAAACGGAGGAAGGUGGGGAUGACGUCAAAUCAUCAUGCCCUUUAUGACCUGGGCUACACACGUACUACAAUGGCAAUUAACAAAGAGAAGCGAAGCCGCGAGGUGGAGCAAACCUCAUAAAAAUUGUCUCAGUUCAGAUUGCAGGCUGCAACUCGCCUGCAUGAAGUCGGAAUUGCUAGUAAUCGCGGAUCAGCAUGCCGCGGUGAAUACGUUCCC